CGCCCUGACAGACCCCAAAAAAUUUUAUUCUGUUCUCUAAGCAUCAUUCUGACUUAGGCAUCAGAGGAUCUCCACCGGAUACCCUCCGCCAAGAGAACUUCUUCGUUUUUGCUGUUUCAAGACGGAGCACGGCUACCGGACCAAAAUUCCAACAACAGUCAUCUGCCUCAAGUCUCAACCGAAUACAAUCAAAGCAGCCAAUCACUGAGUCCUCCAGCACCGUCACAACACUUGCUCGACGUCUAAGACAGACCGAUUCCCAACAGCAACACUUCCAUUUUUUCUAUUUUUAAAAUAUAAAAAAAUAAAAUUAUAUUUUUUAUUUAACUUUUAAAUAUAAAUAUAUUUGAUAUAGUUAAUUAUUUUAAAAUAUAAAUAUAUUGAUGGUUGCGAAAGAGGUAGUAGCAGCUGUGACAUGAUGGAGGCAGCCAGGAUGGCAAUAAUAUGAUAAAAGUGGCGACAAUGGCUACAACAGUGCAGCGGUGAUGGCGGCACCAGCAAUAUAGCAUGGGCAAUAUUGAAGGCAGUGAUGGUAUGGGGCAGGCAGCAAGGUUUGGAUGGUGUGGCGAAGGCGACGAGGUAGAGAGGUAGUGGUUGGGAGAUCACACCCUAACAAUGCCGAUGUCUCACCCAAAGUCUUUGACCAUUUCCCUACUUCUCGUUUUUAAAUUGUUUGGAGCUCUUUUAAGUAUGUUUUCAAAUUGAUUGAUUGAGGGGCAUGCAAGUAUGUGGCAUAGUUUGAUUGAUGUACCGAUCCAUAGUCAUUUCCAUGAUGAUUUGCAGGAUAUUAAUAAUGAAUUCCAGGCUUUCCCUGAUGAUCUUUUUUAAUCAUAGCUUCCAAGUUUGAUAAUUCCAUCAAGUGCAAACCAGCAAGAUUGGGACCAUUUGGCAUGCAAGGGUGCAGAAGCUACAAGCGGAUAACUUUGAGGUUAUCAAUAAAUUGCAAAAAAACGCCCUUGAAAAGUGCUUUUUAGAGCAUCCAGAAUCAUGCCAAUUGGAGUUGCAUAGCCAAAUGCUAUUAUGAUGAUACAUCAAGAUUUAUGUUUGAGACCUGAUGCCAUUUAAAUCUAGAACAUUAAGUUGUAGGUCUUACAAUGUCCUGACUGUAUUGUUAUUGAAGCUCUGGUGGCUUGAAGAGAAGCAAAAAACCCAGAGUUUGUUCUUAUUCCUCACGAGUAAAAAGCCAAACUUUGUGAUUCUCUUCAGGAAAAAUACAAGUGUUUCUCUGCCAA